ACCACAUAAAAAAUAGUCAUAAACUUAAUAAAGAAAUAGCAAAUAAACUCCAAACCUGGGUGAUUGAUCAAUUCAUUAUUCCGAAAUGCGAAAUUUGCAAACAAUUUAGUAAAUACCAUGCCUUUAUAUUUAUGAUACAUUUAAAGGAAGUUCAUGAUGUCAUUGUACCUCAAGAAUUCAUACCACAGAGAUUAUCAAUUAGAUUAAAAAAUCUUUUUGAUCCUUGUAAAAAUGUUGAAAACAUUCCAACAUCAACCAGCAAUAAUCAUCAGCAGCCAUCUAUAAUUAGAACUUACUUUAAGGAUUAUGAUCCGACUUUUCAUUCUUCCGAUACAUUUGAAACCUCAAGGUCUCGUGACUCGUGGUCAUGGCAUUACUUUACAAUAUAUAACGGCGAAUUUAUCA